CCCUUAGAUGUUCUGGGCUGCACGCGCGCUACACUGAUGCGCUCAACGAGUUUACGACCUUGCCCGGAAGGGUUGGGUAAUCUUUUUAAAACGCAUCGUGAUGGGGAUAGAUUAUUGCAAUUAUUAAUCUUUAACGAGGAAUUCCUAGUAAGCGCGAGUCAUCAGCUCGUGCUGAUUACGUCCCUGCCCUUUGUACACACCGCCCGUCGCACCUACCGAUUGAAUGGUCCGGUGAAGCCUCGGGAUUGUGGCCAGUUCACUUUAUUGGGAGUUGGCUGUGAGAACUUGUCUAAACCUUAUCAUUUAGAGGAAGGUGAAGUGGUAACA
rnacentral:rRNA from 1 species